rnacentral:rRNA from 1 species
AGUGAACGCUGGCGGUAGGCCUAACACAUGCAAGUCGAACGGCAGCACAGUAAGAGCUCGCUCUUACGGGUGGCGAGUGGCGGAUGGGUGAGGAAUACAUCGGAAUCUACUUUUUCGUGGGGGAUAACGUAGGGAAACUUCCGCUAAUACCGCAUACGACCUACGGGUGAAUGCAGGGGAUCUUCGGACCUUGCGCGAUUCAAUGAGCCGAUGUCGGAUUAGCUAGUUGGCGGGGUAAAGGCCCACCAAGGCGACGAUCCGUAGCUGGUCUGAGAGGAUGAUCAGCCACACUGGAACUGAGACACGGUCCAGACUCCAACGGGAGGCAGCAGUGGGGAAUAUUGGACAAUGGGCGAAAGCCUGAUCCAGCCAUACCGCGUGGGUGAAGAAGGCCUUCGGGUUGUAAAGCCCUUUUGUUAGGAAAGAAAAGCAGCAGGUUAAUACCCCGAUGUUCUGACGGUACCCAAAGAAUAAGCACCGGCUAACUUCGUG